AUGAUGGGAUUUCAAAAACGCUUGCGUACCAAUGACAUCUGAGAGCGAACGCAGGUGUACCACUUUCCCUGGUGUUGGCGCAUAAUUCGCGCACCCCGGCUUCGGU
rnacentral:sRNA from 1 species